rnacentral:rRNA from 1 species
GACGAACGCUGGCGGCGUGCUUAACACAUGCAAGUCGAGCGGUAAGGCCUCUUCGGUGGUACACGAGCGGCGAACGGGUGAGUAACACGUGGGUGACCUGCCCUCAGCUCUGGGAUAAGCCUGGGAAACUGGGUCUAAUACCGGAUAUGACCUUUCCUCGCAUGGGGUUUGGUGGAAAGUUUUUUCGGCUGGGGAUGGGCCCGCGGCCUAUCAGCUUGUUGGUGGGGUGAUGGCCUACCAAGGCGACGACGGGUAGCCGGCCUGAGAGGGCGACCGGCCACACCGGGACUGAGACACGGCACAGAAUCCUACGGGAGGGAGCAGUGGGGAAUAUUGCGCAAUGGGCGGAAGCCUGAAGGAGCGACGCCGCGUGGGGGAUGACGGCCUUGGGGUUGGAAACCUCUUUCGACCCCGACGAAUUUGGACGGUAGGGUUAGAAGAAGCACCGGCCAACUACGUG